AUCCCUGUCCUAGGCGCCCCCCUAGGGGGCGUUGCCAGGGCUCUGGCACAUGGUGUUAGAGUUCUGGAGGACGGGGUCAACUAUGCAACAGGGAACUUGCCUGGUUGCUCCUU
rfam:Hepatitis C virus genotype 7, complete genome